AUGUCUUUUUUUUUUGCAAUUAACUUUCUUCUGAUGAUCAAUUCAACCUCUCAUAGAAAAGAUAGACCUUGGUUCUAUUUCAUCUCUUCAACCAAAUGAGUAAAAAGCACAACGGCCCUAUUGUGCCGAUUGAGAGAAGAACCUACAAUUAGCUUUUCAAAAAAAUUCCAAACAAACAAUUUCAACAAAAUCUUUCAAUUUCUCAUUUUAUUAUGUUCAACUUGUAUUCCUCUAUCCUUAGAGUACAUUGGAUGUACAGAAAUGGCUAUAACAGAGUUUCUCUUAUUCAUAUUAACAACUACUCUAGGGGAAAUGUUUUUAUGUGGUGCUAACUUAAUAACUAUCUUUAUAGCUCCAGAAUGUUUCAGCUUAUGUACCUAUCUAUUGUAUGGAUAUACCAAGAGAGAUCUACGGUCUAAUGAGGCUACAAUGAAAUAUUUACUCAUGGGUGGGGCAAGCUCUUCUAUUCUAGUGGCUAUCUAUCUAGUAAGUUUUCUGAAAAAACAGACCAGCUGGAAGGUAGCAUUUCUCCACAAUAUAAAUAUUUCUGAAGAGACCAUAUAG
rnacentral:rRNA from 1 species